AACAGGUGUAUAACAGUAAGGUUCUCACCACAGAGGUCAGGGCCAUCUGAAAGCUGUAUAUUCUGGGUGUUUUAACAGUUUAUAAGAGGUUUAUAACAGGUGUAUAACAGUAAGGUUCUCACCACAGAGGUCAGGGUCAUCUGAAAGCUGUAUAUUCUGGGUGUUUUAACAGUUUAUAAGAGGUUUAUAACAGGUGUAUAACAGUAAGGUUCUCACCACAGAGGUCAGGGUCAUCUGAAAGCUGUAUAUUCUGGGUGUUUUAACAGUUUAUAAGAGGUUUAUAACAGGUGUAUAACAGUAAGGUUCUCACCACAGAGGUCAGGGUCAUCUGAAAGCUGUAUAUUCUUGGUGUUUUAACAGUUUAUAAGAGGUUAUAACAGGUGUAUAACAGUAAGGUUCUCACCACGGAGGUCAGGGCCAUCUGAAAGCUGUAUAUUCUGGCAAGACCGAAGUCGGCCAGUUUUAUCUGUCCUCCGCUGGUGACCAGGAUGUUCUGGGGUUUCAGGUCCCGGUGAACCACACGGUGUGAGUGCAGGAAGUCCAACCCCUGCAGCAGCUGGUACAUCAUAUCC
rnacentral:lncRNA from 1 species